rnacentral:misc_RNA from 1 species
UUAAAUAAAAAUCGGUGUUGUUGCUGCCUUUCGCGGUGACGCGUCGGAGUUGGGUCGUCUUAACCUUCGGCUAAGUGACUUAAAAUUUUGCAUGAUUUUCGAACGUAUUUAAAUUGCUUACGUACGUUUGGAGUAUCGAAUGUUUAUUAGGUUCGGUCAUCCUUAUGACUCGCGCCUAUAAUUUUUUCAUU